rnacentral:rRNA from 1 species
GAAACUGGGUCUAAUACUGGAUAUGACCUUUCUCCUUAUGGGGUUUGGUGGAAAGUUUUUCGGUGUAGGAUGAGCCCGCGGCCUAUCAGCUUGUUGGUGGGGUGAUGGCCUACCAAGGCGACGACGGGUAGCCGGCCUGAGAGGGUGAUCGGCCACAUUGGGACUGAGAUACGGCCCAG